AUACGAAGGGUGCUAGCGUUGUUCGGAAUUAUUGGGCGUAAAGCGUACGUAGGCGGUUUAGUAAGCCAGCUGUGAAAGCCCGGGGCUCAACCUUGGAAUUGCAGUUGAAACUACUAUGACUAGAGUAUGGCGGGGGAUAGUGGAAUUCCUAGUGUAGGGGUGAAAUCCGUAGAUAUUAGGAGGAACAUCAGUGGCGAAAGCGACUAUCUACACCAUUACUGACGCUCAGGUACGAAAGCGUGGGGAGCAAACAGGAGUAGAAACCCGGGUAGUCC
rnacentral:rRNA from 1 species